rnacentral:tRNA from 1 species
ACCGGAUUAGUGCAGUGGUAAAAUACCUCGGUUUCAUCGGUUUCGCUGUUAUGGAUCAAAAAGAAGAGGUGAAUGAAAUUUCAUUUUCUCCGUGACAUUUCGCAAUACCACGUCGAGUAGCCCCAGGUUCGAAUCCUGGAUCCGGUA